rnacentral:rRNA from 1 species
UGGGGAAUUUUGUGCAAUGGGCGAAAGCCUGACACAGCGACACCGCGUGAGCGAAGAAGCCCUUUGGGGUGUAAAGCUCUGUCAACAGGGACGAAAAAAAUGACGGUACCUGUGGAGGAAGCAUCGGCUAACUACGUGCCAGCAGCCGCGGUAAGACGUAGGAUGCGAGCGUUGUCCGGAUUUAUUGGGCGUAAAGAGUUCGUAGGCGGUUCGUUAAGUCUGAUGUAAAAGGCACGGGCUCAACCCGUGUAUCGCAUUGGAUACUGGCGGACUAGAGUGCAGUAGAGGCAAGCGGAAUUCCCAGUGUAGCGGUGAAAUGCGUAGAUAUUGGGAAGAACACCGGUGGCGCAAGCGGCUUGCUGGGCUGUAACUGACGCUGAGGAACGAAAGCUAGGGUAGCGAAUGGGAUUAGAUACCCCCGUAGUCC